UACGUAGGGUGCAAGCGUUGUCCGGAAUUAUUGGGCGUAAAGAGCUCGUAGGCGGCUUGUCGCGUCUGCUGUGAAAACCCGAGGCUCAACCUCGGGCCUGCAGUGGGUACGGGCAGACUAGAGUGCGGUAGGGGAGAAUGGAAUUCCUGGUGUAGCGGUGGAAUGCGCAGAUAUCAGGAGGAACACCGAUGGCGAAGGCAGUUCUCUGGGCCGUUACUGGACGCUGAGGAGCGAAAGCGUGGGGAGCGAACAGG
rnacentral:rRNA from 1 species